CACGUAGGCGGAUACUUAAGUCAGGGGUGAAAUCCCGGGGCUCAACCCCGGAACUGCCUUUGAUACUGGGUAUCUCGAGUCCGGAAGAGGUGAGUGGAAUUCCGAGUGUAGAGGUGAAAUUCGUAGAUAUUCGGAGGAACACCAGUGGCGAAGGCGGCUCACUGGUCCGGUACUGACGCUGAGGUGCGAAAGCGUGGGGAGGCAAAACA
rnacentral:rRNA from 1 species